rnacentral:rRNA from 1 species
AUGUGCAGAACUGCCAAGGAUCAUCGGAUUUGGAGUAGGAGCCUAAUCGGAGACACAAAGCUCCAGUUCCAUAUUGCUUGUGAGGUCAUCUUGUGCCUAGAUGUGGCCCAAGAGCGACGGCGUCUCACGGCGGCUGAACCAGAGCUCAGGAAAGAACUGAAGACCAAGCUUCUUGGCCUUGCUGCGAUCGAGCAUUGCAGGCAGAGGCAGGCUUCCCGCCUCACCUGGCUACGCGUGGGCGACGCCCCAACAAAGUUCUUCAUGGCCAAGAUCAGUUCAAGAAGGCGCACAAACUUCAUUCAUGUCCUGAAGGUCGGAGAUAACAUCGUGACAGCUCAUGUUGAGAAGGAAAAGGCAAUCCAUGAUCACUUCAACAACAUUUUGGGAACCCCGCAGCACCGCCCAACAUCUAUCAACUGGGCUCAGCUCCAAAUGCGAGCAAUCCAGGGAGGAGGACUGGAUAACCCCUUCACAAAAGAGGAGGUCCGGGCUGCGAUCAAGGCCUCGCCUACUUAA